AUUGAACGCUGGCGGCAUGCCUUACACAUGCAAGUCGAACGGUAACAGGUCUUCGGAUGCUGACGAGUGGCGAACGGGUGAGUAAUGCAUCGGAACGUGCCCAGUUGUGGGGGAUAACUGCUCGAAAGAGCAGCUAAUACCGCAUACGACCUGAGGGUGAAAGCGGGGGAGCGCAAGACCUCGCGCAAUUGGAGAGGCCGAUGUCAGAUUAGGUCGUUGGUGGGGUAAAGGCCUACCAAGCCGACGAUCUGUAGUUGGUCUGAGAGGACGACCAGCCACACUGGGACUGAGACACGGCCCAGACUCCUACGGGAGGCAGCAGUGGGGAAUUUUGGACAAUGGGCGCAAGCCUGAUCCAGCAAUGCCGCGUGCAGGAAGAAGGCCUUCGGGUUGUAAACUGCUUUUGUCAGGGAAGAAAUCUUCUGGGUUAAUACCCCGGGAGGAUGACGGUACCUGAAGAAUAAGCACCGGCUAACUACGUGCCAGCAGCCGCCGUAAAAC
rnacentral:rRNA from 1 species